UGCGUAGGCGGUUCAGUAAGUUGCUGGUGAAAUCCCGGGGCUCAACUCCGGGGCUGCCGGCACGACUGCUGGACUUGAGCACGGUAGGGGCAGAUGGAAUUCCCGGUGUAGCGGUGGAAUGCGUAGAUAUCGGGAAGAAUACCAGUGGCGAAGGCGUUCUGCUGGGCCGUUGCUGACGCUGAGGCACGACAGCGGUGGGGGAGACAAACGA
rnacentral:rRNA from 1 species